rnacentral:rRNA from 1 species
AUUGAACGCUGGCGGCAUGCCUUACACAUGCAAGUCGAACGGUAACGGGCCUUCGGGUGCCGACGAGGGGCGAACGGGUGAGUAAUACAUCGGAACGUGCCCGAUCGUGGGGGAUAACGAGGCGAAAGCUUUGCUAAUACCGCAAACGAUCUACGGGGGAAAGGAGGGGACCGGAAGGGCUUGCGGGGACGGAGCGGCCGAUGGCAGAUUAGGUAGUUGGUGGGAUAAAAGCUUACCAAGCCGACGAUCUGUAGCUGGUCUGAGAGGAUGAUCAGCCACACUGGGACUGAGACACGGCCCAGACUCCUACGGGAGGCAGCAGUGGGGAAUUUUGGACAAUGGGCGCAAGCCUGAUCCAGCCAUGCCGCGUGCAGGAUGAAGGCCUUCGGGUUGUAAACUGCUUUUGUACGGAACGAAAAGCCUUCUUUUAAUACAGGAGGGUCAUGACGGUACCGUAAGAAUAAGCACCGGCUAACUACGUG